UCAGUCGAGCGGACAGAAGGGAGCUUGCUCCCGGAUGUUAGCGGCGGACGGGUGAGUAACACGUGGGUAACCUGCCUGUAAGACUGGGAUAACUCCGGGAAACCGGAGCUAAUACCGGAUAGUUCCUUGAACCGCAUGGUUCAAGGAUGAAAGACGGUUUCGGCUGUCACUUACAGAUGGACCCGCGGCGCAUUAACUAUUUGGGGGGGUAGGGGCACCCCGGGGACAAUGCGUAUACCAAACCAGAUGUGAAUGCCCCACGAUUGAAACCCAGGUCAUACCGGGAUUGAUGAUUUGACGUCUUCCCCAUCUUCCUCAGGGGAGGAACGUGUGACCACCUUACGCCGCCUGAGUGAUGGAGGUUUUCGAAUAGUAAAGGUCUGUUGUUAUGGAGGAACUAGUGCAAGAGUACCUGCUCGCACCUUGACGGUACCUAUGCAGAACGGCACGGCUAACCACGAGAGAGCAGCCCCGGUAAUACGUAUGUGGCAAGCGUUGUCCGGAAUUAUUG
rnacentral:rRNA from 1 species